GACAGACUUACCGAAAGAUGAUGUUUUCCAGGUCAAACGGAUACUCAAUAAUGCCAGUGGUGGGCACUCGGACACGAAGCACAUCCUGCUGUGUUGGCACGAACGAUGGCAUGGCGAUCCGGUCAAUGUCCGUCAGAUUGCUGAUUCCUGCUUCACAAGGAGUUAAUGAACAAAGAGCUCCCAAACUGAGCUCUCUUCCGUGACCAUCUUGUCCACUUGAGGGCAGCACCAGAUCAGCCACGGACAGGAAGCCCAACAGAAGGCUAGAGGAAAGGAAGAACUUACAGAUUCACUUGACUCGGAAAAACCCAGAACCAUGAUUAAAUCAAGAUGGCUUUGCCCUCCAUCCAUCAAGAGUGAAUAUAAUCUUCUCCCAGACUGUGGUAUCCUCAGGCAGAACCCAGUGACAGCCCCUAAACCAGGAGUUCUAGUUCUGCCUGCUGGCACAUUUGUGUCACGUGCCCUGUUCUCAACCAGAGAGAGCGAUGAAUGAGACCACAGACAGUGUCUGUGUGCAGAAACGAUGAAUGAAGACCACAGACAGUGUCUGUGUGCAGAAACGAUGAAUGAAGACCACAGACAGUGUCUGUGUGCAGAAACGAUGAAUGAAGACCACAGACAGUCUCUGCGCAGCAGAAGGGCCUCUCCCACUCCUUCCCCCCACUUGCCACUCGCCCACGUCCCACACAGGAGCAGAUGGUCUCCACUGGAUAAUGCGAUGGUGGAGCUUCCCAGGAUACCCCAUUUGCCCACGCCAGUGUUUGGCUCUUCGAGUAGAUAAAAAGUGGCUCCCAGUAAAUUAUCACAGAGGAAUGCAGCCUUCUACAUAAGCUCUGGGACGGGAGGAAUUUAAGGAAAAGACAUUGACCUGGGAUUUCAGGUAGCCAAGGGAAUUCAGCCUGGUGAGAAAGACAUAUUGUUUGUUCAGCCAAGGGAGGAGAUUUGGGGGACAUCUUGCUUAAAAGAAGAGAAUAGAGGCUCCUUAGAAACCUAACAAUUGGGACUUUAGAACUAACCAGACGUAGCCACCCAGGACCCAGGAUUCAGAGGUUUUCCUGUCCAUCUUUGUCUUCUCCUGGUUAGCUCUACCUGUCUGGAUCAUUUUUUUUUUUUAAUUCCUAUUUAAGACUUGGAAAAAGGUGGGAAACAUGGUAGAACAAGUUCUUCUCUGCCUUUCAAGAUUGCCCAAACAUUCACACCUCAUCAUUCAUCCUCACUCCUUCCACAUGUGUUCACACAUAUACCCACACAUGCACAUGUAACUCAUACAUAUGCUUUUUCCUGGAACUAUCUGAAAGAAAACUGCAGCCUCAGUGCCUUUUUAUCUCUAAAGACUUCAGUGCAGUUUCCUAAAACCAAACAUACGUAAUCACAUUGUAUAAUCAUAUAUAAUGAUCAAUAUCAGGAAAUUAACAGUGAUACAAUAUUGUAGUCUAAUCCUCAGACCUUAUCCAAAGUUUGGCAGUUGUCCCAUAAAUGUCCUUCAUUGGCCCGAUCUAGACUCAUGUAUUGCAUUUAGUCAGCUGUCUCUUUAGUUUCCAUUUACCUGGAAAGACUGUAGUCAAAGGAGUUGUUUGUGUCACUCUGAUCAAGAAUGGCCUGACAAGGGGAGAGUCCCCUAGUGGUCCAGCGGUUAGGACUCUGCACCCCCGCCGCCAGGGCCCAGGCUCAGUCCCUGGUUGGGGGGCAGGGUGGGGGCACUAAGAUCCUGCAAGCUGCAUGGUGCAGCCAAAAAAGGGUGUGUUCUUUAGUCACGAGUCAUCAUGAAGGUGGCUGGUGGACUGGGAGCCGAGCCCCAGAGAAUGUCCCAAGGGCAAAUAUUAUACAGGGCAGAGAGGAGUGAGAAAAAGGGUGCCCUGGUUUUUAAAUAAAUUCUAUUAGGAUAUCAGAUGAAUGACUUUUGCACAUUAAUAAUGUGUGUUUUUAAAAAAGUCAAGUUUUGGUGGCACAAAGACAGAAACACAGAUCAAUGGAACAAACUAGAAAGCCCAGAGAUAAAUCCACGCCCUUACGGACACCUUAUCUUUGACAAAGGAGGCAAGAAUAUACAAUGGAGAAAAGACAAUCUCUUUAACAAGUGGUGCUGGGAAAACUGGUCAACCACUUGUAAAAGAAUGAAACUAGAACACUUUCUAACACUAUACACAAAAAUAAACUCAAAAUGGAUUAAAGAUCUAAAUGUAAGACCAGAAACUAUAAAACUCCUAGAGGAGAACAUAGGCAAAACACUCUCUGACAUAAAUCACAGCAGGAUCCUCUAUGACCCACCUCCCAAAGUAAUGGAAAUAAAAGCAAAAAUAAACAAAUGGGACCUAAUUAAACUUAAAAGCUUUUGCACAGCAAAGGAAACUAUAAGCAAGGUGAAAAGACAGCCCUCAGAUUGGGAGAAAAUAAUAGCAAACGAAGCAACAGACAAAGGAUUAAUCUCAAAAAUAUACAAGCAACCCCUGCAGCUCAAUUCCAGAAAAAUAAAUGACCCAAUCAAAAAAUGGGCCACAGAACUAAACAGACAUUUCUCCAAAGAAGGCAUACAGAUGGCUAACAAACACAUGAAAAGAUGCUCAGCAUCACUCAUUACCAGAGAAAUGCAAAUCAAAACCACAAUGAGGUACCAUCUCAUGCCGGUCAGAAUGGCUGCUAUCCAAAAGUCUACAAACAAUAAAUGCUGGAGAGGGUGCAGAGAAAAAGGAACCCUCUUACACUGUUGGUGGGAGUGCAAACUAGUACAGCCACUAUGGAGAACAGUGUGGAGAUUCCUAAAAAACUGGAAAUAGAACUGCCAUAGAACCCAGCAAUCCCACUGCUGGGCAUACACACCAAGGAAACCAGAGUUGAAAGAGACACGUAUACCCCAGUGUUCAUCGCAGCACUGUUUACAAUAGCUGGGACAUGGAAGCAACCUAGAUGUCCGUGGGCAGAUGAAUGGAUAAGAAAGCUGUGGUACAUAUACACAAUGGAAUAUUACUUGGCUAUUAAAAAGAAUGCAUUUGAAUCAGUUCUAAUGAGGUGGAUGAAACUGGAGCCUCUUAUACAGAGUGAAAACCACCACUUUCAUUGCUCUGAGGAAAGAACACUGAAAACAUGUCCUACAUGUGCGUUUCACUCGGAAACUCCCAGGAUGGCAGUGGAAGGAGCCGCUCAUGAUGCGGUGCCUUGCUGACUUCACACAAGGAUGGCUGGCUGCCCGGGUGACAGUCCCUGUCGAGCCCAGCAGGCCCCUCCGGCUGGAAUCCAGGGCCCAGUGGGCAGCCCCAUUCUCCACCAGGUCCUCGCAGGGAGAGCCCCGGUACUGCGGGCCCCCGAGCCUGCUCACUCACCAGGGAAGAUUUCCCCCUCCUUCGUCAGGACACUGGAGUUCCUGUUCUUUCAUCAGGUCCUUAAGUCCUUAAGUGUUUUCACUGAAAUCUGUAUUCAUUAAUACAAGUCUAAAUAAUAAAAGCCUAAUUGCAUGAUAUUUCAAGAGCCUACUGUCAUUUGUAGUGCCUAUGAACCUCAAAAGUUUUCUAAAAACAGA